rnacentral:rRNA from 1 species
AGAGUUUGAUCCUGGCUCAGAUUGAACGCUGGCGGCAUGCUUUACACAUGCAAGUCGGACGGCAGCACAGAGAAGCUUGCUUCUUGGGUGGCGAGUGGCGAACGGGUGAGUAAUAUAUCGGAACGUACCGAGUAAUGGGGGAUAACUAAUCGAAAGAUUAGCUAAUACCGCAUAUUCUCUGAGGAGGAAAGCGGGGGCCCUUCGGGCCUUGCGUUAUUCGAGCGGCCGAUAUCUGAUUAGCUAGUUGGUGGGGUAAAGGCCUACCAAGGCGACGAUCAGUAGCGGGUCUGAGAGGAUGAUCCGCCACACUGGGACUGAGACACGGCCCAGACUCCUACGGGAGGCAGCAGUGGGGAAUUUUGGACAAUGGGCGCAAGCCUGAUCCAGCCAUGCCGCGUGUCUGAAGAAGGCCUUCGGGUUGUAAAGGACUUUUGUCAGGGAAGAAAAGGCUGUUGCUAAUACCGACAGCUGAUGACGGUACCUGAAGAAUAAGCACCGGCUAACUACGUGCCAGCAGCCGCGGUAAUACGUAGGGUGCGAGCGUUAAUCGGAAUUACUGGGCGUAAAGCGAGCGCAGACGGUUACUUAAGCAGGAUGUGAAAUCCCCGGGCUCAACCUGGGAACUGCGUUCUGAACUGGGUGACUAGAGUGUGUCAGAGGGAGGUAGAAUUCCACGUGUAGCAGUGAAAUGCGUAGAGAUGUGGAGGAAUACCGAUGGCGAAGGCAGCCUCCUGGGAUAACACUGACGUUCAUGCUCGAAAGCGUGGGUAGCAAACAGGAUUAGAUACCCUGGUAGUCCACGCCCUAAACGAUGUCAAUUAGCU